AGGAUGAACGCUAGCUACAGGCUUAACACAUGCAAGUCGAGGGGAAACGAUAGAGAAAGCUUGCUUUUUCUAGGCGUCGACCGGCGCACGGGUGAGUAACGCGUAUCCAACCUGCCCACCACUUGGGGAUAACCUUGCGAAAGUAAGACUAAUACCCAAUGAUAUCUCAAGAAGACAUCUGAAUGAGAUUAAAGAUUUAUCGGUGAUGGAUGGGGAUGCGUCUGAUUAGCUUGUUGGCGGGGUAACGGCCCACCAAGGCGACGAUCAGUAGGGGUUCUGAGAGGAAGGUCCCCCACAUUGGAACUGAGACACGGUCCAAACUCCUACGGGAGGCAGCAGUGAGGAAUAUUGGUCAAUGGGCGAGAGCCUGAACCAGCCAAGUAGCGUGCAGGAUGACGGCCCUAUGGGUUGUAAACUGCUUUUAUAAGGGAAUAAAGUGAGCCUCGUGAGACUUUUUGCAUGUACCUUAUGAAUAAGGACCGGCUAAUUCCGUGCCAGCAGCCGCGGUAAUACGGAAGGUCCGGGCGUUAUCCGGAUUUAUUGGGUUUAAAGGGAGCGUAGGCCGGAGAUUAAGCGUGUUGUGAAAUGUAGACGCUCAACGUCUGCACUGCAGCGCGAACUGGUUUCCUUGAGUACGCACAAAGUGGGCGGAAUUCGUGGUGUAGCGGUGAAAUGCUUAGAUAUCACGAAGAACUCCGAUUGCGAAGGCAGCUCACUGGAGCGCAACUGACSCUGAAGCUCGAAAGUGCGGGUAUCGAACAGGAUUAGAUACCCUGGUAGUCCGCACGGUAAACGAUGGAUGCCCGCUGUUGGUCUGAAUAGGUCAGCGGCCAAGCGAAAGCAUUAAGCAUCCCACCUGGGGAGUACGCCGGCAACGGUGAAACUCAAAUGAAUUGACGGAAG
rnacentral:rRNA from 1 species